rnacentral:rRNA from 1 species
CCUCUGACCGCUCUAGAGAUAGAGCUUCUCUUCGGAGCAGGGGACACAGGUGGUGCAUGGUUGUCGUCAGCUCGUGUCGUGAGAUGUUGGGUUAAGUCCCGCAACGAGCGNAACCCCUAAUGUUAGUUGCCAGCAGGUGAAGCUGGGCCCUCUAACGUGACUGCCGGUGACAAACCGGAGGAAGGUGGGGAUGACGUCAAAUCAUCAUGCCCCUUAUGACCUGGGCUACACACGUACUACAAUGGCCAGUACAACGGGAAGCGAAGUCGCGAGAUGGAGCGAAUCCUAUCAAAGCUGGUCUCAGUUCGGAUUGCAGGCUGCAACUCGCCUGCAUGAAGUCGGAAUUGCUAGUAAUCGCGGAUCAGCAUGCCGCGGUGAAUACGUUCCCGGGUCUUGUACACACCGCCCGUCACACCACGAGAGUUUACAACACCCGAAGCCGGUGGGGUAACCGCAAGGAGCCAGCCGUCGAAGGUGGGGUAGAUGAUUGGGGUGAAGUCGUAACAAGGUAAGCGUAGUGCU